UAUUGCACAAUGGAGGAAACCCUGAUGCAGCGACGCCGCGUGAGCGAUGAAGGUGUUCGAAUCGUAAAGCUCUGUUCCAUGGGAAGAUAAUGACGGUACCAUGGGAGGAAGCCCCGGCUAACUACGUGCCAGCAGCCGCGGUAAUACGUAGGGGGCUAGCGUUGUCCGGAAUUACUGGGCGUAAAGGGUUCGCAGGCGGAAAUAUAAGUCAGGUGUAAAAGGCGAAGGCUUAACCUUCGUAAGCAUUUGAAACUAUAUUUCUUGGGAUAUGGAGAGGUAAGGGGAAUUCCUAGGGUAGCGGUGAAAUGCGUAGAUAUUAGGAGGAAUACCAGUGGCGAAGGCGACUUACUGGACAUAUACUGACGCUGAGGAACGAAAGGAUGGGUAGCAAACAG
rnacentral:rRNA from 1 species